rnacentral:rRNA from 1 species
AACGAACGCUGGCGGCAGGCCUAACACAUGCAAGUCGAGCGAGGACUUCGGUCCUAGCGGCGGACGGGUGAGUAACGCGUGGGAACGUGCCCCUUGGUACGGAAUAGCCCCGGGAAACUGGGAGUAAUACCGUAUGAGCUCUACGGAGGAAAGAUUUAUCGCCAAGGGAUCGGCCCGCGUUGGAUUAGGUUGUUGGUGGGGUAAUGGCCAACCAAGCCGACGAUCCAUAGCUGGUUUGAGAGGAUGAUCAGCCACACUGGGACUGAGACACGGCCCAGACUCCUACGUGAGGCAGCAGUGGGGAAUCUUAGACAAUGGGCGCAAGCCUGAUCUAGCCAUGCCGCGUGAGCGAUGAAGGCCUUAGGGUUGUAAAGCUCUUUCAGCUGGGAAGAUAAUGACUGUACCAGCAGAAGAAGCCCCGGCUAACUCCGUGCCAGCCGCCGCGGUAACAC